AUUGAACGCUGGCGGCAGGCCUAACACAUGCAAGUCGAGCGGUAGAGCGAAGCUUGCUUCUCUUGAGAGCGGCGGACGGGUGAGUAAUGCCUAGGAAUCUGCCUGGUAGUGGGGGAUAACGUUCGGAAACGGACGCUAAUACCGCAUACGUCCUACGGGAGAAAGCAGGGGACCUUCGGGCCUUGCGCUAUCAGAUGAGCCUAGGUCGGAUUAGCUAGUUGGUGGGGUAAUGGCUCACCAAGGCGACGAUCCGUAACUGGUCUGAGAGGAUGAUCAGUCACACUGGAACUGAGACACGGUCCAGACUCCUACGGGAGGCAGCAGUGGGGAAUACUGGACAAUGGGCGAAAGCCUGAUCCAGCCAUGCCGCGUGUGUGAAGAAGGUCUUCGGAUUGUAAAGCACUUUAAGUUGGGAGGAAGGGCAGUAAAUUAAUACUUUGCUGUUUUGACGUUACCGACAGAAUAAGCACCGGCUAACUCUGUG
rnacentral:rRNA from 1 species